rnacentral:lncRNA from 1 species
UUUUAAGGAAAUGUGAUUUUAUUAAUAUUCCUCCUUUAAAAAAGAGAGAAAAAAUAACUUGAUGUAAUCAAAUCAAAUGUUAGCAUAUUUUUGUUUUUGAAAAUUUCUUACUAAGAGAAUUGCUGAGUUAAAGUUGCAGGUGUGUGCAAGUGUUGGGAAGAAGCGCUGAUUCCAGGGCAGAGUGGCUGUGCUCCUUCCUCAUCUCCACUCACAGAAAUGCCAUCUUUUAUCUACUCAGAACUGACAUGGAGAUUCAGGUCAGCAGCCAGAGACUGUAAGCAUAUUGCAGUGGAUAUCCCUGCCUAGUCCGGAUUCUUUUUGCAACUUGUCUGCGAGGCAAGGAGGGAUACAGAUGUGCGAGUGAGGGGAAGUCCGCAGGAAGCCGGGUGAGGCAGGCUCAUCCCUCAUCACUCCGUGCGCACAGAGCAGCUCAGGCUCUCUCACUGGCAAUAGCAAGAGGAGUUAACUAACGUGCUGGGAGUAGGUGACGGCCCAUGGGACCACGACUGAAUGCAUUUGUACCUCUACAGGGUGAAUAAAGAAGGUGUAUUAUACUCCCUCUACAAGUAAGAAUCCUGAUGUCUAGAGAGGGCGUUUUAAAGAUAAAUGGUAAAACUGAACUGGAAAUCCAUCUGGCCGGCUGCCUGCUCUAAUGAAUAACCCCACUUUGGCUCGUGCAAUGUAAGCAGAAAGUUCUCUCCCGGCCUCUUUCGUCUGUCAUGAAUCUACAAGACAGCCGACAUAAUAUCUGGGCGACAACGGACUUCUUCCCUUUGGAAAGCAGUGUGGUGGCAGUGUCACAGGCAUCCUGUGUGUUUGCAGCAGGUUCCUUCCAGAAGCAGCUGAGGAAGACAGCAAGCAAGUGGCAUUUGGGGUCUUGUAUCAUGUUGGAACACAGCCGUAGUACAUAGACUUCCUGAAAAAAAGACUUCCAGGUAAAAACAUAUUGUGGACACGGUAACAAAUUGGAGAGGGUCAAGCAUCAGGAACACAUGUUCCCUUUUGGCUUCAA